GGAACUUCCUCCGGGUCUCCCACGUGGGUGUGGGGGCCCAAGGACUUGGGUCAUCUUGUACUACUUUCCCAGGCCAUAGCAAAGAGCUGGAUCAGAAGUGGAGCAGCUGGGACUAGAACCAGUGUCCAUAUGGGAUGCUGGCGCUUCAGGCCAGGGCAUUAACCCCUUGCGCCACAGCGCCGUCCCUAGGACUUUGCCUUUUCAAUAAGUGGAGCACAUCUACUUGGGUUUUCAUUGUCUGUGGGAUGCUGGGAGUAGAUGUUAGCCCCUGUUGGGCUAAAGAGGCUUGAAGAGUUAGGACCUGAACCCAACAAGCCUGGGCAAAGACAAUGCACAGCCUAAUGGAAUGUUCCUUGCCCAGCAGAGCCCCUACUUGGGACAUUGCCAACUGCCAGGACUGCCAAGCUUUAGGAUUUUUCAGUUCUAAGAGGGCAAGGAGGCAGCCAACUACAGCAGAAAAGAUUUUAUUUCAGCAGGGAGAGAAUGGAAGGGUAGAGAGAAUGGGGGUUCAGUCUGUCUGGACAGAGGUCAAAGGGGGGUUGGUGCCAGGCUUGGUUUUGCUGAAGGGCGCCCUGUCUUGAAGGCAGGCAGAGUCCGGGUCCCGAUGCUUUGAGGCAGGUGAGGUGGAGUCAGGCCCUUUGUGAGGCUGGAAGCUGGGGGCACAUGUGCAGAGAGGCAGGCAGGUGGAGCUGGGGCGCCCCUGUCACCAGGUGGGUUCAGGGUCCCAGGCUAGGUUGAGGAGCCCUUUGGCUGAGCAGGCAGGGUGGGAGCUCCUGUCCAUCAUUUAGGCUGGGGCAGGCACCCUUUGAUGAGGCGGCGUGUUUGUGGUGCCACUGCCAUUGAGGUAGUGUUGGUCAGGGUGCCCCUGUCAUUAGAGCAGUCCAGGAUGUGGGCACCACAGUCAGAUCAGGAGAGGUUGUGGUACCUCAUUCAGAUUUAGUAGAGUUUGGGUGCCCCAGUCAGAUUUAGAAUGGGUUGGGGCACCCUGUCAGUUUGAGGAGAGGUUGUGGCAACCCUGUCAGAUUUAGAUGUUGGUGUGCCCCUGUUAGAUUCAGGAGAGGUUGGGGUUUCUGUGUCAUUGAAGUAGUGGGGGUCAGGAUGCCCCCAUCAUUAGAGUAGUCCAGGGUGAGGUACCCAUCAGAUUCAGGAGAGGUUUGGGCACCCCAUUCAAAUUCAAGAGAAGUUGGGGCACCCCAGUCAGAUUCCAGAGGGGUUGUGGCACCCCUGUCAGAAUCAGGAGAAGUUGAGGCAACCCAGUCCAAUUCUGGAGAGGCUGGGACACCCUUGUCAGAUUGAGGUGAUGUUGGGGCACCCCAUUCAGAUUCAGGAGAUGUUGGGGUAGCCCAGUCAGAUUAAGGAGAGUUUGGGGUUUUCCUGACAGAGUCAGGAAAGGUUGGGGUGCCCCUGUCCUUGAAGCAGUCUGGGUUGGGCACCACUAUCAGAUUCAGGAGAGGUCAUGGUACCUUUGUCACUGACAAUGCAGGGUUGGGGUUCCCCAUUUUGUGGCAGGUGGGGUGUUGGCACCCCUGUCAUCGAGUCAGCUGGGCUUGGAGCACUCUACAUGUGAAAGAUGAGGUGCCAGUGUGCACCUGUGAGAUUCAGGCAAGGUCACAGUACCCUUUUUGGUUUGGUAGGCCUAGUGGGGGUGCCCUUUCUAAGAAGCAGCUGGGGUCAGGUUGCCCCUGCGAGAUUUAGCCGAGGACAGGACACCUCUGAUGGUGAGCCAGGCAGGGUCAGGGUGUCACUGUGGUUGAAUCAACCAAGAUCAGGGCAAACCUGUAGGUGAGCUGGGCCAGGUAGUGUGGCCUUGUUGAUGUUGCAGGCGGGUUCAGGCCUCCCUGUCAGUGUGGCAGGUGUGUUCAUGGUGCCCUGGCAGUGUCAUUGGUGUGUUCUGGAUGUCCCUGUCAGUGCAAUGUGGAUAUUUGGUGUCCCUAGGGGUGUGGCAGGCUGGUUUAGGGUGUGCUGCUGGUGAGGCAGGCCAUUUUGGGGUGCCCCCUGUCUAUGUAACAGGAGGGUUGUGGGCAUCCUUGUCACUGAAGAGGGUUGUUGGGGAAGCCUCUGUUGUGGCAGGCAGGUUUUGCGUGCUCCUUUCAGUGAAUCAGGCUCGUUGUUGGGAUCCUUGUCAUUGAGGCAGGCAGAUCCAAGAGCUCCUGUGGGUGUGGCAGGUGGGUUUUGGGCACCCCUCUCUGUAGCAGACACAUUAAUGGCAUCCCUGUCAUGAGGUGCAGUCAGAGAGCCUGUGUCAUUGUGGCAGGCAGGUUUGGGGCAUCUCGGCUGGUGUGACAACCAGAUUCAGGGCAUCCCUGUUGGUGGGACAGCCAGGUUUGAGGCACCUAUGUUGGUGUGGCUGGCAGGUUUGGGUCAUCUUUGUUGAUAUGGCUAGUGGGUUUGGGGCAUCCCUGUUGUGGUUGGCAGGAUUGGGGUGUCCCUGUUGGUGUCGCUGGCUGGUUUAAGGCAUUGCCAUUGGUGUUGCCGGUGGGUUUGGGGUGUCCCUGUUGGUGUGGGUCAUGGAUUUGUGUCAUCCCUGUCUGUGUUACAGCCCGGUUUGGGGCAUCUUUGUCGUGAGGUGGGCAGGUCGUGGAGGCCCUGUUGUGGUACACAGGAUCAAGGCGCCCCUGUUUGAGUAGCAGGUGGUUUCAGGCAUUGCUGUUGGUGUGGCUGGUGUGUUCAGGGCAUCCCUGUUGGUGUGGCUGACAGGUUCGGGGGAUCCCUGUUGGUGUGACAUCAGGUUGGGGCAUCCCUGUUUGUGUGACAGCUGGGUUCCAGGAGUCCCUUUUGAUGUGGCUGGCAGGUUUAGGGCAUCGCUGUUGGUGUGGCUGGCAGAUUUGGAGCAUCACUGUGUGGCUGGCGGGUCAGGGCUUUGCUGUUGGUGUGGAUGGAGGGUUCUGGGUGUCCCUCUUGUGGUGGCUGGCAGUCUCAAGGCAUCGCUGAUGGUGUGGCUGGUGGGUUCGGGGCAUCUGUCUUGGUGUGACAGCCGGGGUCAGGGCACUCUGUUGGUGUGGCAGCCUGGUUUAGGGCACUCCUGUUGGUGUGGCUGACAGGUUUGGGGCAUCGCUAUUGUUUGGUCUGGCAUGUCUGGCGCAUCCCUGUUGGUGUGGCUGGCAAGUUUGGCGUGUCCCUGUUGGUGUGGUUGGUGGGUUUGGAGCAUCCCUGUUGGUGCAGCUGGUAGGUUCUGGGCAUCCCUCUUGGUGUGGCAGCCAGGUUCCGGGUGUCCCUGUUUGUGUGACAGUUUUGGGGCACCCCUGUUGGUGUGGCUGGCAGGUUCAGGGCAUCAUUUUUGAUAUGGCUGGUGGGUCUGGGGCAUCCCUGUUGUGACUGGCAGGAUUGGGGCAUCCCUGAUGGUGUGGCUGGUGGUCUCAGACCAUCACUGUUGAUGGGUGGCAGAUUCGGGGUGCCCCUGUAAGUGUGGUUGGCAGGUUCAGGGUACCUCUUUUAGUAUUACAGGCAGGAUCAAAGUGCCCCUGUCAGUGGGACAGGCAGGUUCAGGACCUCCCUAUUGGUGUGACAGCUGGAUUCAGGGCAUCCCUGUUUGUGUGACAGCCAGGUUCAGGAAACCCCUGCUGGUGUGGCUGGAAGGUUCGGGGCAUUGCUGUUGGUAUGGCUGGCAGGUUCAGGGCAUUGUUGUUGGUGAGGCUGGCAGGCUCAGGGCAUCCCCAUUGAGUGGCUGGCUUGUUUGGGGCAUCCCUGUUGAUAUGGCUGGUAGGUUCAGGGAUUUGCUAUUGGUGUGUCUGGUAGCUUCAGGGAAUCAUUGUUGUUGUGACUGGCAUCUUUGGAGCUUCCCUGUUGGUGUGACAGCCACGUUUGGGGCAUCCCUAUUGGUGUGACAGCCAGGUUUGGGGCAGCCCUCUUGGUGUGGCUAGCAGGUUCUGGGCAUCCCUGUUGGUGUGGCUGGUGGGUUGAGGGUAUAGCUGUUGGCGUGGCUAGCAGGUGCGGUCAUUGCUGUUGGUAUGCUUGCGGGGUUCAGGGAAUUGCUGUUCGUGUGACUGGCAGGUUUGGGGUGUCCCUGUCAAUGUGGAUGGUGAGUUUGGGGCAUUGCUGUUGUUGUAGCUGGCAUGUUUGGGACGUCCCUGUUGGUGUGACAGCCAGUUUUGGGACAUCCUUCUUGGAGUGACCGCCAGGUUCGGGGCAUCCCUGUUGAUGUGGCUGGAAGGUUUGGGGCAUCGCUGUAGGUGUGGCUGUUGGCUUCAGAGUAUCCCUGUUCCUGUGGCUGGUCAGUUUGGGGCAUCCCUGUUGGUGUUGCUGGUGGGUUCAGAACAUUGCUGUUAGUCUGGCAAGUGGGUUCCAGGCAUCUGUUGGUGUAACUGACAGGUUCAGGGCAUCGUUUUGGAGUAGCUGGCAGGUUCGUGGCAUCCUUGUCGGUGUGGCUUGUGGGUUCAGGACAUCACUGUUGGUGUGGCUGGCAGGUUUUGGGCAUCACUCUUGUUAUGACAGCCAAGUACAGGGCAUCCUGUUGGUGUGGCUGAUAGGUUUGGGGCAUCCCUCUUGUGACUGCCAGGUUCAGGGCACCCCUGUUGGUGUGACUGACAGGUUCGGGGUGUCCAUAUUGGUGUGGCUGACAGGUUUGGGGCAUCCCUCUUAUUAUGACAGCCGAGUUCAGGGCAUCCUGUUGGUGUGGCUGACAGGUUCGGGGUGUCCCUGUUGGUGUGACUGAUAGUUUCGGGGCAUCCCUCUUGUUUUGACAGCCAGGUUGUGACAAGGUAUCCCUGUUUGUGUUACAACUAGGUUCCAGGUGUUCCUAUUGGUGUGGCUGGCAGGUUCGGGGCACCGCUGUUGGUGUGGCUGUUGGUUCAGGGCAUUGCUGUUGGUGUGGCUGGUGGGUUCAGGAAAUUGUUGUUGGUUUGGCUGGCGAGUUCAAGGUGUUCCUCUUAGGGUGGCUGUCUGCCUCAGAGCAUUGCUCUUGGUGUACUGGUGGGUUUGUGCAAUCCCUGUUGGUUGGCUUACAGGUUCUGGACAUCCUUGUUGGUAUGUCUUGCAGGUUCAGGGUGCUGCUGUAAGUGUGGUUGGCAGGUUCAGGCUGCCCCUUUCAGUGUUACAGGCAGGAUCAGGGUGCCCCUGUCAAUGGGACAGGUAGGUUCAGGACCUCCCUGUUGGUGUGACAGCCAGAUUCAGGGCACCACUGGUGGUGUGGCUGGAAGGUUCAGGGCAUCACUGUUGUUAAGUCUGGUGGGCUCAGGGUGUCCCUGUUCAUGGGGCUGGUUGGGUUCAGGGUGUAGCUGUUGGUGUGGCUAUCAGGUUUGGUCAUUGCUGUUGAUAUGGCUGGCAGGUUCAGGGCAUUGCUGUUGGUGUGGCAGGCAGGUUUGAGGAAUCCCUAUUGGUGUGACUGGUGGGUUUGCGGCAUCCCUGUUGAUGUGCCUGCUGGGUUUGGGGCACUGCUAUUGGCGUGACUGGCAGUUUUGAGGCAUCGCUGUUGUGGCUGUCAUGUUUGGGGCUUCCCUAUUGGUGUAACAGCUAAGUUCGGGGCAUCCCUGUUGGUGUGGCUUUCAGGUUCAGGCAUCCCUGUUGAUGUGGCUGGUGGGAUCAUUUGUCACUGUUGGUGUGGCUGGUGGUUUUGGGGCAUCCCUGUUGGUGUGGUUGGCAGGUUGGGGCAUCCUUUUGGUGUGGCUGGCAGUUUUGG